rnacentral:rRNA from 1 species
GAUGAGUCUGCGGCCUAUCAGGUUGUAGCAAGUGUAACGCACUUGUUAGCCUACAACGGGUACGGGCCAUGAGAGUGGUUGCCCGGAGAUGGACUCUGAGACAUGAGUCCAGGCCCUACGGGGCGCAGCAGGCGCGAAAACUUCGCAAUGUGCGCAAGCACGACGAGGGAAUCCUAAGUGCCUAUGCUUUGCAUAGGCUGUUCUCCUGUCUAAAAAACAGGGGGAGUAAGGGCUGGGUAAGACGGGUGCCAGCCGCCGCGGUAAUACCCGCAGCCCAAGUGGUGAUCGUUAUUAUUGGGUUUAAAAUGUCCGUAGCUGGUCUAGUAAAUUCCUGGGUAAAUCGAAUUGCUUAACAAUUCGAAUUCCGGGUAGACUGCUAGACUUGGGACCGGAAGAGGUCAGAAGUACUUCUGGGGUAGGGGUAAAAUCCUGUAAUCCUGGAGGGACUAUCAGUGGCGAAAUUUCGGAAGCAAAUCUUCCUCAUUUAUCGUUGCUUCCGCAACGCUAAG